CGUAGGCAGCAAGCGUUGUUCGGAGUUACUGGGCGUAAAGAGUGCGUAGGCGGUGCCCUAAGUCUGUUGUGAAAUCUCCCGGCUUAACUGGGAGGGUGCGGUGGAAACUGGGGUGCUUGAGAGUGGGAGAGGUUAGCGGAAUUCCUGGUGUAGCGGUGAAAUGCGUAGAUAUCAGGAGGAACACCGGUGGUGUAGACGGCUGACUGGACCACGACUGACGCUGAGGCACGAAAGCGUGGGUAGCAAACAGGAUUAGAUACCCUGGUAGUCCACGCCCUAAACGAUGCAUACUUGGUGUGAGCCAUUCAUUUGGUUCGUGCCGGAGCUAACGCGUUAAGUAUGCCGCCUGGGGAGUACGGUCGCAAGGCUG
rnacentral:rRNA from 1 species